UAUUACAAUUCGAAUUGGGAUCUACUGUUGUAUCUGACAGUAAUCUCCUCUAUCUAAUUUUCUAAGACGCGGUAUAUAUAUGAUGUCUUUUCUAACUCUUCUGAUGUACAAACUGGAAAUCCAGGUUAGUUCUUUACAAAAUUGUGAAAGGAAAGGCCUCAGAUCCUAUUCAAACGAGAAGUAAGAUCAAUGAACACAUCCUCACUACAGGGAAUUGUGACACCGCCCAUUGGAUGAUCAAAGCCAAAUUCUUCCUCAGCUUGACUAAGCAAGUCUUGAAAUAAAGGUUGGCUCAAGAAUGAUAUGGGGAUCACAAACCUCUUCUUUUGCUUCUCCCCUACAUAAACAGCAAAGUGGCCUUUCGGAACGUCUCCACUUGUAGAAGACUUCUUGAUUAUACGAGGCAUACGGAUAACCAUGGUCGUUUAGUUCAAUAUAGAUGAGCAAAUAAGGAAGGAAAGAACUUGUAAAAUGACUUUGAAAGCAGAGGAAAGCUUUGUAUGAUUUCAAGUUUUG
rnacentral:misc_RNA from 1 species